rnacentral:rRNA from 1 species
UACGAAGGGGGCUAGCGUUGCUCGGAAUCACUGGGCGUAAAGGGCGCGUAGGCGGUCUUUUAAGUCGGGGGUGAAAGCCUGUGGCUCAACCACAGAAUUGCCUUCGAUACUGGAGACUUGAGUUCGGUAGAGGUUGGUGGAACUGCGAGUGUAGAGGUGAAAUUCGUAGAUAUUCGCAAGAACACCGGUGGCGAAGGCGGCCAACUGGACCGACACUGACGCUGAGGCGCGAAAGCGUGGGGAGCAAACAGG